UACGAAGGGGGCUAGCGUUGUUCGGAUUUACUGGGCGUAAAGCGCACGUAGGCGGAUUGUUAAGUCAGGGGUGAAAUCCUGGAGCUCAACUCCAGAACUGCCUUUGAUACUGGCAAUCUCGAGUCCGGAAGAGGUAAGUGGAACUCCUAGUGUAGAGGUGGAAUUCGUAGAUAUUAGGAAGAACACCAGUGGCGAAGGCGGCUUACUGGUCCGGAACUGACGCUGAGGUGCGAAAGCGUGGGGAGCGAACGGG
rnacentral:rRNA from 1 species